GCACAGGGUGGAGGCCGCCAUCUUGGGCCGGGAGCGGCAGCGCUUCCGGAUGACCGUUCUACAGGGACAGGGGUUCUAGUGGGGCACGUCGUUGACAGGAACCGAGAGAGCAGCGGGCGGGGCUGACACCUCUGGGGAAGGAGAAAGCAGAAGAGGCAGCCCGCCCGCACCAUCUUUUACACCAACAGAAAUGGAAGACUGCAUGAAAAAUCAAAUGGACAAUUUCGGCCGAGGUGAAAACAGAAGUGAAAAUUAAAAUUACAGAUUUAUGUUUUAAAAAGUGUCAAAGUUCUACAAGAUUUAUUGAAUAAAGUUCUUUGAGGAGAAGAAGCAUGACCUAAGACAGGAAAUUGAAUAUACACAAAUAAAUAUAAUGGAAUUAGACUAAAGGUAACAUAUGUUUUUAUUUCUCAGCUCAAGAAGUCUAAAAGACAACAGACAAUUUAAAGGAAAAGUAAUGGCAAGAUGGUCUGAGCAUCCAAUACAUGAGCAGUAAAUUAAACGCACCGAUGGAACAAGGGUGCGGGGGAGAGUGGGAAGCACAGCACUUCAGAUCCUUGAGCUGGGUGACAAUUUCAGGGACAACUGACUAACUAAAGAAGUUUGCUAUAAGUUAUAGGGUAUAAAAAAUGAUUCCGUAAAGGGAGUAACAUAGAAUCAUUAUAAAAACCUCAAUUCUAAGUCAGACAGGAAGUUAUAAAAAGCGUGGGAAUGCACCGGUAAAGAACAGCUCUGGGGGUGGGGUAUGAGCUGCUCAGCCACUCCUUGGGCCCAUGUGGGGAGCUGGGCCCUGUGUAGCAGGGUCAGAUGGGCCGCAGUAUCCUGGCCAAACUCCUGACGAAAGACCACGAGCGUGACUAAUACAAAACUAUCAUUUAACACCGUCGUGUAGGGGGUGGUUUGUUACCUAGAAUAAAUAAACAAUAAGUAGGAUAAAUAAAUAACUUGGACAUCUGAUAUUUACUAAAUUGCAAGAAACCAAAAAAUACAUAUAUUCACAUUAACCCAGACAAGAGCAUGUUUAGAAUAAGGAUGUAGGAACAUCUAAACCAUUUCGU